rnacentral:snRNA from 1 species
AUACCUUUCUUGGCUUUUUGACUAAGAUCAAGUGUAGUAUAUGUUCUUAUCAGUUUAAUAUCUGAUAGGGCCUGGCACGCCCCGACCAAGUCACAUGUUCAAACAUUUCAGCCUCAGCUAUGGUUGAUGGAAAUCUGAUAUUGAAUGCUUGUCAUGAAAUCUCAAUCCUAU